rnacentral:rRNA from 1 species
UGCAGUCGAGCGGGAAUUUCUUUUGGGAGAUGAGAGCGGCGCACGGGUGAGUAACGCGUAUGCAACCUGCCCCGGACAGGGGGAUAGCCCGGAGAAAUCCGGAUUAAUACCCCAUAAGAUUAAGGAACCGCAUGGUUUCAUAAUCAAAGCUCAGGCGGUUCGGGAUGGGCAUGCGUGACAUUAGCUGGUUGGUGAGGUAACGGCUCACCAAGGCUGUGAUGUCUAGGGGUUCUGAGAGGAAGAUCCCCCACACUGGUACUGAGAGACGGACCAGACUCCUACGGGAGGCAGCAGUGAGGAAUAUUGGUCAAUGGGCGCAAGCCUGAACCAGCCAUCCCGCGUGAAGGAAGACGGCCCUACGGGUUGUAAACUUCUUUUAUACACGAAGAAUAGUACCUACGUGUAGGUGCAUGCCGGUAGUGUAUGAAUAAGCAUCGGCUAACUCCGUGCCAGCAGCCGCGGUAAUACGGAGGAUGCGAGCGUUAUCCGGAUUUAUUGGGUUUAAAGGGUACGUAGGUUGGCCGUUAAGUCAGUGGUGAAAACCUGUUGCUCAACAAUAGGCGUGCCAAUGAUACUGACGGUCUUGAGUACA